rnacentral:rRNA from 1 species
GGAUUCCCCUAGUAACUGCGAGUGAAGCGGGAAAAGCUCAAAUUUAAAAUCUGGCAGUCUCUGGCUGUCCGAGUUGUAAUCUAGAGAAGUAAUGCCCGUGCUGGACCGUGUAUAAGUCUCCUGGGAUGGGGCGUCAUAGAGGGUGAGAAUCCCGUCUUUGACACGGACUACCAGUGCAUUGUGGUAUGCUCUCAAAGAGUCGAGUUGUUUGGGAAUGCAGCUCAAAAUGGGUGGUAAAUUCCAUCUAAAGCUAAAUAUUGGCGAGAGACCGAUAGCGAACAAGUACCGUGAGGGAAAGAUGAAAAGAACUUUGGAAAGAGAGUUAAACAGUACGUGAAAUUGCUGAAAGGGAAACGCUUGAAGUCAGUCGCGUUGGCCGGGAAUCAGCCUUGCUUCUGCAUGGUGUACUUUCUGGUUGACGGGUCAGCAUCAAUUUUGACCGCUGGAAAAAGGCCUGGGGAAUGUGGCAGCUUCGGCUGUGUUAUAGCCCCUAGUUGCAUACAGUGGUUGGGAUUGAGGAACUCAGCACGCCGCAAGGCCGGGUUUCGACCACGUUCGUGCUUAGGAUGCUGGCAUAAUGGCUUUAAGCGACCCGUCUUGAAACACGGACCAAGGAGUCUAACAUGCCUGCGAGUAUUUGGGUGGAAAACUCAAGUGCGUAAUGAAAGUGAAAGUUGAGAUCCCUGUCGUGGGGAGCAUCGACGCCCGGACCAGAACUUUUGGGACGGAUCCGCGGUGGAGCAUGUAUGUUGGGACCCGAAAGAUGGUGAACUAUGCCUGAAUAGGGUGAAGCCAGAGGAAACUCUGGUGGAGGCUCGUAGCGAUUCUGACGUGCAAAUCGAUCGUCAAAUUUGGGUAUAGGGGCGAAAGACUAAUCGA